rnacentral:rRNA from 1 species
AGUCGAUGGGAAACAGGUUAAUAUUCCUGUACUUGGUGUUACUGCGAAGGGGGGACGGAGAAGGCUAUGUUGGCCGGGCGACGGUUGUCCCGGUUUAAGCGUGUAGGCUGGUUUUCCAGGCAAAUCCGGAAAAUCAAGGCUGAGGCGUGAUGACGAGGCACUACGGUGCUGAAGCAACAAAUGCCCUGCUUCCAGGAAAAGCCUCUAAGCAUCAGGUAACAUCAAAUCGUACCCCAAACCGACACAGGUGGUCAGGUAGAGAAUACCAAGGCGCUUGAGAGAACUCGGGUGAAGGAACUAGGCAAAAUGGUGCCGUAACUUCGGGAGAAGGCACGCUGAUAUGUAGGUGAAGUCCCUCGCGGAUGGAGCUGAAAUCAGUCGAAGAUACCAGCUGGCUGCAACUGUUUAUUAAAAACACAGCACUGUGCAAACACGAAAGUGGACGUAUACGGUGUGACGCCUGCCCGGUGCCGGAAGGUUAAUUGAUGGGGUUAGCGCAAGCGAAGCUCUUGAUCGAAGCCCCGGUAAACGGCGGCCGUAACAAUAACGGUCCUAAGGUAGCGAAAUUCCUUGUCGGGUAAGUUCCGACCUGCACGAAUGGCGUAAUGAUGGCCAGGCUGUCUCCACCCGAGACUCAGUGAAAUUGAACUCGCUGUGAAGAUGCAGUGUACCCGCGGCAAGACGGAAAGACCCCGUGAACCUUUACUAUAGCUUGACACUGAACAUUGAGCCUUGAUGUGUAGGAUAGGUGGGAGGCUUUGAAGUGUGGACGCCAGUCUGCAUGGAGCCGACCUUGAAAUACCACCCUUUAAUGUUUGAUGUUCUAACGUGGACCCGUAAUCCGGGUUGCGGACAGUGUCUGGUGGGUAGUUUGACUGGGGCGGUCUCCUCCUAAAGAGUAACGGAGGAGCACGAAGGUUGGCUAAUCCUGGUCGGACAUCAGGAGGUUAGUGCAAUGGCAUAAGCCAGCUUGACUGCGAGCGUGACGGCGCGAGCAGGUGCGAAAGCAGGUCAUAGUGAUCCGGUGGUUCUGAAUGGAAGGGCCAUCGCUCAACGGAUAAAAGGUACUCCGGGGAUAACAGGCUGAUACCGCCCAAGAGUUCAUAUCGACGGCGGUGUUUGGCACCUCGAUGUCGGCUCAUCACAUCCUGGGGCUGAAGUAGGUCCCAAGGGUAUGGCUGUUCGCCAUUUAAAGUGGUACGCGAGCUGGGUUUAGAACGUCGUGAGACAGUUCGGUCCCUAUCUGCCGUGGGCGCUGGAGAAUUGAGGGGGGCUGCUCCUAGUACGAGAGGACCGGAGUGGACGCAUCACUGGUGUUCGGGUUGUCAUGCCAAUGGCACUGCCCGGUAGCUAAAUGCGGAAGAGAUAAGUGCUGAAAGCAUCUAAGCACGAAACUUGCCCCGAGAUGAGUUCUCCCUGACUCCUUGAGAGUCCUGAAGGAACGUUGAAGACGACGACGUUGAUAGGCCGGGUGUGUAAGCGCAGCGAUGCGUUGAGCUAACCGGUACUAAUGAACCGUGACUAAGCGUA